CUUCCUUCCGUUAGUGAGUAGACUGGCCAAAGUGAGUACUUAGUGCUUCUCAGUAGCUACCCCAGCAUUCAUUCCCUAUUGAGUAGACUGACAAAAGGGACUCUUCUGCGGUUCUCAGUAGUAACCAUUCCUUUCGUGCCCUACUGAGUAGAUUGGCUGGAGAAAAUCUCUAGUGGUUCUCAAUACAAACCAUCCCAGCUUUACUGGAGCUUGUCAGCGUUCUGUGUGUGCUAUGAAGCAUCGCAUUGUAGCUGCUGACUUCGAUAUACCACCAAUAAGAGGUCCAGAAUGAUUCUACAGAUGAGAGCAUACUGUCACCCCUUUCGAGCGACAGUGUUCUCGAGGAUCUUGUGAGGUAGCUUGACGCUCCAGAGGAUGGUGGUUGGAUAAAUUCAAACUCAUGUGAAUAUACCUUCAACAGAAGAAGAACGGUUACAAAUCGCUGCUGGUUUUGAGAAUUGAUGGGAUUUUCCAAACUGUAUUGGCGCUAUGGAUGGAAAACAUAUAGUCAUACAGGCUCCCAAGAAAGAAGGCAGUGUGUACUUUAAUUAUAAAGGGAACCACAGUAUUGUGCUAUUGGCACUGAUUGGACCUGACUACAGAGUUAUAUACUUCGAUGUGGGCUGUAAUGGUAGAAUAUCUGAUGGAUUUUUUGAUAAUUGUUGACUGUCAGAAUGUCUUGAGUCUAAUUCCUUGAAUGUACCAGUUACUCGAAAUCUACCUCGUAGAACUGUACAGAUACCUUACGUCAUCGUUGCUGAUGAUGCAUUUGCUCUAAAAAAUUAUAUUAUGUAGACCUACCCUUUUAGAGGCCAACCAGUGCAAAAUCGUGUGUUUAACUAUAUGCUCUCUAGAGCAAGAAAUGUGCUGAAAACUAUUUUUGGGCUCAUAUGCACACGUUUUCGAACAUUACGAACGCAAAUUCUUCUAAACCCAGAGGAAUCGAGACAAAUUGCCAAAGCGAUUUGUGCUCUUCAAAACUUUUUACUCACAGAAGAGAGUAGAAAGUCCGUUUACGCCCCACCUGGCACUUUUUAUUCUCAAGAUUUACAGACGCAAGGAGAAUGGCGCAAAGAUAUAUGGACAGAAACGAAUAUACUGCUGGAACCAAUAAACAUACAUAAUUGGCCACAGAUGGCCAAGGAAGCCAGAAAUAAAUUCACAAACUACUUUGUUUCAGCA